GUUGUUAGUAUUGAUCCUCGUAGAGUAUACCUUAAUAGUACUGAUGAUGUGGAGUUCAAGGCUAUAAGAGUGACAAACCCAGGUCCAAAUGGAGAAGAAUAUGCUUGGUAUCAGUGUACAGUUAGUGGUGGGCGAGAAGGUCGACAAAUUGGAGCUUAUGAGCUUGCAAAAGCAGUUGAAGAGCUGGGAGCCAGAGAGAUACUAUUGAAUUGCAUUGAUUGUGAUGGUCAAGGCAAAGGAUUCGAUGUAGAUUUAAUAAAGUUGAUCUCAGAUGCCGUGAGCAUCCCUGUCAUCGCUAGUAGUGGUGCUGGUGCUGUUGAAAACUUCUCUGAAGUGUUUAGGAAAACAAAUGCAUCAGCUGCCCUUGCUGCCG